GACGAACGCUGGCGGCGUGCCUAAUACAUGCAAGUAGGACGCAGUUGCGAACGGGUGAGAAACGCGUAGGUAACUACCUAUAAGAGGGGGAUAACUAUUGGAAACGAUAGCUCUUACAGCAUACUAGUAGAUGGACCUGCGUUGUAUUAGCUAGUAGGUUGGGUAAUGGCCUACCUAGGCAACGAUACAUAGCCGACCCUGAAGGGUGGACGGCCACACUGAGGAUGAGACACGGGCCAGACUCCGACGGGAGGCAGCAGUAAGGAAUUGUCGGGAAUUGGGGGAAACCUGACCCAGCAAAGGCGGGUGAAGGAAAGAUGUUUUCGGAACGUAAAGGCCUGUUUGUAAGGUAGCGGUAUUUAACCAGAAAGGGACGGCUAACUACGUGCCAGCAGCCGCGGUAAUUC
rnacentral:rRNA from 1 species